UGCCAGCAGCCGCGGUAAUACGGAGGGUGCAAGCGUUGUCCGGAUUUAUUGGGUUUAAAGGGUGCGUAGGUGGCUUUUUAAGUCAGUGGUGAAAUUCUACAGCUUAACUGUAGGACUGCCAUUGAAACUGGAAAGCUUGAGUAUUGUUGAGGCAGGCGGAAUUUAUGAUGUAGCGGUGAAAUGCAUAGAUAUCAUAAAGAACACCGAUAGCGAAGGCAGCUUGCUAAGCGAUAACUGACACUAAUGCACGAAAGCAUGGGUAGCGAACAGGAUUAGAUA
rnacentral:rRNA from 1 species